CGGCCUACGGGACGCAGCAGUGGGGAAUAUUGCGCAAUGGGCGAAAGCCUGACGCAACGACGCCGCGUGAGGGAUGAAGGUCUUCGGAUCGUAAACCUCUGUCAGCAGGGAAGAACGGUCACUGUGCUAAUCAGCAGUGAAUUGACGGUACCUGCAAAGGAAGCACCGGCUAACUCCGUGCCAGCAGCCGCGGUAAUACGGAGGGCGCGAGCGGUACUCGGAAUUACUGGGCGUAAAGCGCUCGUAGGCGGUAUGUCAAGUCAAGGGUGAACUCCCCGCGCUCAACGGGGGAACUGCCUUUGAAA
rnacentral:rRNA from 1 species